rnacentral:rRNA from 1 species
UACGUAGGGUGCAAGCGUUGUCCGGAAUUAUUGGGCGUAAAGAGCUCGUAGGCGGUUUGUCGCGUCUGCUGUGAAAACUGGGGGCUCAACCCCCAGCCUGCAGUGGGUACGGGCAGACUAGAGUGCGGCAGGGGAGAUUGGAAUUCCUGGUGUAGCGGUGGAAUGCGCAGAUAUCAGGAGGAACACCGGUGGCGAAGGCGGCAUCCUGGACCGGCAUUGACGCUGAGGAGCGAAAGCCAGGGGAGCAAACGGG